rnacentral:rRNA from 1 species
CCUACGGGAGGCAGCAGUGGGGAAUAUUGCACAAUGGGGGAAACCCUGAUGCAGCAACGCCGCGUGAGCGAUGAAGGUCUUCGGGUUGUAAACUGCUUUUGUACGGAACGAAACGGCCUUUUCUAAUAAAGGGGGCUAAUGACGGUACCGUAAGAAUAAGCACCGGCUAACUACGUGCCAGCAGCCGCGGUAAUACGUAGGGUGCAAGCGUUAAUCGGAAUUACUGGGCGUAAAGCGUGCGCAGGCGGUUAUGUAAGACAGUUGUGAAAUCCCCGGGCUCAACCUGGGAACUGCAUCUGUGACUGCAUAGCUAGAGUACGGUAGAGGGGGAUGGAAUUCCGCGUGUAGCAGUGAAAUGCGUAGAUAUGCGGAGGAACACCGAUGGCGAAGGCAAUCCCCUGGACCUGUACUGACGCUCAUGCACGAAAGCGUGGGGAGCAAACAGGAUUAGAUACCCCAGUAGUC